UCAGGGGCCCAGCCGCUCCACGGCACGUGGGAUCUUCCCGGACCGGGGCACGAACCCGCGUUCACUGCAUCGGCAGGUGGACUCCCAACCACUGUGCCACCACGGAAGCCCCAACACUUUGAUUUGAACCCAGUGAGACCUCAGUUGGACCUCUAACCUACAGAACCUGUCUCCAGGAAGGAAUGGGAGUCCAAACAGCCCAGAUGAAGAGUCCAUAGGGAUGAGGGACAGGCUGAGGAUGAAGCCAGCACUUUCUCUUCCUGCCCCAGUUGAACCCGGGGUGAAGAAAGCGAUCCCCUGCCUGGAUGAAUUACAAGAAUGUUCCUGAAAGCUCUCCCAUGACAUUUUAAACAGCAGCUGCCCCAAGUAGGGAGACAAAAAAGGGUGAUUUCACCAAGGGAGGAACAAAAGACAUUUCACAGACUUGCCCACCUUGGCACCUUUCCCACGAGCUGAUCUCACGAAAGGACCGAUUCUCCUGGAUACCUCACCUGCCUAUCGGGGAGCGAUGUAAUUAUGAUGUAAAUUAAGAUGACUCAAUCAACAUGACUGUGUCCUUAUAGAGAGAGAAUAGACACACGCAGUAAAGAGAAAGCCAUGUGACGACACAGACACACAGAGGAAGAUGGCCAUGUGAUGAUGGGGGCAGAGAUUGGAGUUACGCAGCUACAAGCCAAGGAAAGCCGGUGACUGCCAGAAGUUAAGAGACAGAGAGCAUGGCCCUACCAAGAACCGUGGGCUUUGGACUUCUUGCCUCCAGAACUGUGAGACUAAAUUUCUGUUGUUUUAACAACACAGAUAACAAUUUCUUAAGCACUUACCACACACUAGGCAAUGUGCUUGGCAUAUACUAUCUCAUUUGAUCUUCAUAUAAAUUUACUUAUACCUAUUGUUCUCGCUUUAAUACUGAAGUUCCACAGAGGCUUAAUAACUGGCCCAGUGUCUCAUAGCUGGAACACAGAUGGUGGUGCUGGAAUCUGAAUGCUGCCUCGGUGCCUCUAAAGCACUGCCACCAAGAAAAUGAAUCUUUUGUGCUGGUU